AUACGUAGGUGGCGAGCGUUGUCCGGAAUUAUUGGGCGUAAAGAGCAUGUAGGCGGCUUAAUAAGUCGAGCGUGAAAAUGCGGGGCUCAACCCCGUAUGGCGCUGGAAACUGUUAGGCUUGAGUGCAGGAGAGGAAAGGGGAAUUCCCAGUGUAGCGGUGAAAUGCGUAGAUAUUGGGAGGAACACCAGUGGCGAAGGCGCCUUUCUGGACUGUGUCUGACGCUGAGAUGCGAAAGCCAGGGUAGCGAACGGGAUUAGAUACCCCGGUAGUCCUGGCCGUAAACGAUGGGUACUAGGUGUAGGAGGUAUCGACCCCUUCUGUGCCGGAGUUAACGCAAUAAGUCCCCCGCCUGGGGAGUACGGCCGCAAGGUUGAAACUCAAAUGAAUUGGCGGGG
rnacentral:rRNA from 1 species